AUGUGUCCUUUAAGGUUCAUUUUAGUGUUUUUUUCUGCUGUUCUCGCUGGUUACUAUGCAUGGAAAACGGUUUUUUCCUCACCAAAGGUUGAUUUGGCUUCUGAUGAUUCAAUUGAAGAAGAAAAAUCAUCUCUCAAGAAAGAACAAUUUGGUUUCAUAAAGAUGAUUCAAAGUGGAUUUUGGGUUUUUGUUGACAUGGCUAGUGGAAGGUAUUUAUGGAGAAAUUUGAGGCAAACAAACAAGGAUAUUGAAUUGAAGAGCUCUUAG